AUGGCGGCACGUCACCGGCGCCACCGCGUCGAGGCACCGAAGCCAGCAUGGCUCGUCACGAUCAAGGCCACGCCGCCGGCGCCGGCGAGGGGCGACGCUGCCAAGAACAAGAAGCUCGCCGCGCCCGCUCGCUCGCCGAUUCUGCUGUUGCCGUCGGUGUGGCAGAAGUGCAUGGCCGUCGGUGACCGUGGCGACGCGCCGGCGUCGCCGAGGAUCGGCUGCAUGGGGCAGGUCAAGGGCUCACGGAGAUGCCCAAGAGCGCGCUGCCCGGCCUCCUCGAGGGGACCGGCGUCGUCGGGCCUCCCGUGCGGCAGCCUGGUGGGGAUACUGAUGGGGCUGUUCGGGCGGCGGAAGGCGAGGAAGUCGCGUGCAUACUCCAAGGUCAGGGACGUGGCGAGUGACUCGUCGUCGUCAGGGAGCGCACGACCAUCGUCGUCGUCGGGGAGCGCUCCUGGUGCCCGUGCGCCGCGCCCGCUUGAGCUCGACCCACCGUUGCCGGUGCCGGCGCCGGUGGUGAGACGGCCCGCCGUGUCAGAGAAUGCCCCCAGCCUUUGGGAGCGGCGGCACGGCGGCGCAGAUGUCCUGGAGGGUCUCCAGCUAACGUAG
rnacentral:rRNA from 1 species